CGUCGGGCUUCUCUCCUUCCGGGUCCUCACUUCCCCGAUUGGGUGAAACCCUAGCCACCACUCCCCGUCGGGCUUCUCUCCUCCAUUCCCCAUCGCGCCCCUCUCUUCCAAUCCCUGUAGCCGACGACGAGAUCUUUCCCUUCGCCGAGCUUGCCACCAUCGCUGCUCUCCCCUCGCCAUCGCCGGGAGGAGUGUGCAAGCCGCCGCUUGCGUCAUUUCUCCGCAGCCGCCACCGCCCCCUUCCCUUCCAAACCCGCGGAGAUGACGGCGCCGGCGUCGGCGCCGGCGCUCGCGGUGGUCGGGUACUGGGCUGCCCGGCAGCCGCGGGGCCCAGACGCGCUACAUCGUCAAGGACCUCAAGCUGUCGACGGCGGGGACUGAGUCACCGCCGCAUCAUCUUCUCCUUCUCCCCAACACCGCAUCUCCUCCUCCCCAACACCGAUGAGUGCGGGUCGCCGUCCCACCAGAUGAGAUGGGGCAGCAACCACGCCCCCUUCACCUCUUCUACCCAGCCGUGCCACUCGGGACGACAAGAUCCAGCCGCGGCGGCCGAGAUCCAGCUGGCUGCCAUUGAUAUGAGGAGCGCUCGCGCCGCUGCUCCGCCGUUCGUCGUCCACUUGGCCGCAACCAUCCACAAGAAGAGGUGAUGUCACGGCAGCAGGGUCCUCGCCUGUCUCCACUCCCUCGUCGCAACAACAUUUCCAUCUCCAUCCCCAACGCAUCCUUGACUCAUCUUGAUCUGGAAUGAACCAGAGCCCAGAGAAAGAGAUUUGAUGUGAUGAUUGAGGUAGAAGGCAUGGAUUGUUUGGGGCUCCUCUGAAAUAAGCUUCUUAAUUAAGAGAUGAAUACAGUCGGAGCCUGGGAUUUUUAUACACAUAGAUGGUGCAUAAAUAAGCAAAACAAAAAAUGCGCCAAUGCUUUGCCAGAAUUUCGUUUGUCCUCUCAAAAUUGUGGCGAAACCAAGAUUGAAUUUAGGGAUGUUUCAUAUGCUUGGCUGUUGACACACUUCUCUUCAAGGCAAGGUCAUUUCCAAGGUGAUUACAGCGGUAGGACCUGCCCCUGAUAAGAACCAGGGUACCCGUUUAAACAGAAUGAUGACUGCGUGAGGCUUAAAAGAUCGCCAUCAUAUCAGGGACAUGGAAAGAUGCAAGCGUUACUAUCUUGCAAGCUUGCUCUAAAAGACAAAUUUGAAUGGAUCUUUAAUUAGACAACGCAAAACCCUUUCCGUGUUUGUUGAACCCUGCGGGUGAUGCUGUCACUUCCAUGGUCCACCAGAAUGAAGAUCGCACUCAGUGCUGCAAGGGGGCUUGCCUUCCUGCACGAAGCUGAGAAGCCGCGAGUGCUUGAUGCGGCACUCCCACCGUAACUCAUCCUUUUGUGUCCGCUGCAGUAGGUUGCUGGCUUUGAGGCCGAUGACGGUGUGUUGUUUUCUCUGGUGGUCCGGCCAGCUACGCCCAUCCUGGAGGCCGACAUGCCUUCUCCGGCUGAAAUCCCCUCGCCCUGGCCCCACUCGCUACAUGGCGCUGAACAUUCAACCAAGGAGGGGUGGUGCCUCUUCUCCGGCCCGCACAUACCAUCCCCAACACCAACAUCGGAUGACUCGAAGGUUUGUGGAUAGAAUGUGAGAUAUUUCAAUUAAGGUUCUGAAGAAAGAUCCCAAAUAAUACAGUGUCCCCCCAUUUGAAAAAUGGCACGGUGGAUUUGAUACCUCAAUGGUCUUGCACUAGCCACAGACAGCUUUGCGUUUGUGCCUUGGUUUAGGACAUAUACUCUGCAUGAGAAGUUACCUACUUGCUAUGAGCUUCAGACGCAUCGGCCGCUGCUAGGUGUGCCGGAUGCCCUGAAGAUGGUCAGAGCUGUGGUGCCUGCAAUUCCGGCUUCAUCUCCACACCUACAGGUUUUUGAUAAUUUGCUCCUUGGGAGGUCAGUUUCCUUCAAGUACAGCUAAAUCAAAGAGACACCGACUUAUUUUGGUGCUUGGGAUUUUGAUUGCCAAUCUGCAACAAUGCCCAUGCCCUUUGGUAUUGCACUGAUAAUUUGCUCCUUGGGAGAUGGUUUCUAUCUUAAGUGUCUACAACAAAAGGGAUAAGCAGCACCGCAUCUGAGUACCAAAGCCAUCCAUGCCAUUCUGUAUUCCUCUCAUCAUACACUUGAUCAUAAAAAUCAGCUUAUUUUAUUGCGGACCUACCAUUUAAGAUAUCAAACUACUGUUAUUGCAAUUGGUCUUGAAAUGCCACUAAAUUGUUACUACAUUAUUUUCCACUGUUGUAUGAUUUAUUUAUCUAGAGGAACUUCUUUUAUUGGUGGGAAAAUAUAAGUAUCCUAUUAGUCUGCUGAGAUUUCCAAUGCGAUUCCUUACUAAUCCUACAAGUCGUGUUCUUGAUAUUAAGUUGACGUUACCUUUCCGAGACAUGUGUUUUCCAAUGAGAAUCUUUACUAAUCAUACAAGUCAUGUUCUAGAUGUUAAGUUGAGGUUAUAUUUCAAGUUAUGUAAACCUGAAAGUGGAAGCAUAAUAUACUACGUGAUUCGAUUGACCAACACUGAACUUUUUACAUGUUUUCUUGUGUUGAUUCAGUCCCAUCUUUUUACAUCAUCUUCCACUUUCAGCUGAUAUAUCUAAAAUCUCUAAUGAACAUGUAAUAGCUAGCAGGGAAUAACUAAAGUCUUUGCAAUUUUUUACAUGUUGUCGUGCAUCGAUUCAGCCCAAUUGUGCCAUCAGAAUGACUGAUUCCGCCGCUGUCAUAAGACCAAGGUUCUAAUCCUAGAUACUAAGUCAGACCAACUCUGUUUAGCUCUUGAGAUUAUUUUCUAGCUUGUGAAUAAUAAUCUGCAAAUAGUACCUAUGCUUCUUACAUUCCUUCCGGCUCUAAAAUACACAUAUGCUUUUCUCUUUUUUGUACUUACUACUAAACUAUGUGUGUUGAACAAAGCAUGUCGCCUUAUUUUAGAUAAAUGAUGAUGUAGUUAUGGACGCCUUCUCAAUGCUACAUGUGUAGUUCCCAAAUUGGACAAUAUCUUUCUGCAAAGAUCUUCAAGUAUGGCAUUUGAUUCAUUCUCUCACAUCUGCUAUUUAAAGUUCCUCUCUUGGUUUCUAAUCAAUCUGUGUAGAUACAACUUUCUUAGGUUUUUGUGCAACAACAGAAUUAACAGUUGGUUGCUCUGUUUACCUUCGAUGUCGGUAUCAUCUAUAAAUGUCACUCCCCUAGCUAUUAGCAUUGUUUGUUACAACAACCUACAUGGCCUGAAUUUGAUGUUGUGGUUGCUUGUAGUAGCUUGCCCAUGAUUCAUGGUCUCAUUGCCUUCAUUUGUUUGUGUUUUUUGUGCUGUCAUGCAGAUCAGGAGUUGCAAGUAUGUGUGUGCUAUUCAAUCUAUUUACUGAGACAAGAGGCGUUUAUUUAUGUCCAGAUUUCUGUUGGAGAUUAUGGUACAUAGAAGAUCUCAUAUUAGAGAAGAGAAAAUUCAUUAUAUCUGUCGAUCUGGACAGUAUGUAUAUGUUUCUGGCACCUUUAUCCUUUAGAGCAAAGCCCAGUUCUAUGUUGAUCUUUCUUGAAUCUUUUGUUUUGUUGAUUCGAAUUAUUUAAGUGUGAAUUUUUUUGUACAAUUCCUUGAUUAUA